rnacentral:rRNA from 1 species
UUUAACUGAAGAGUUUGAUCAUGGCUCAGAUUGAACGCUGGCGGCAGGCUUAACACAUGCAAGUCGAGCGGGGGAAGGUAGCUUGCUACUGGACCUAGCGGCGGACGGGUGAGUAAUGCUUAGGAAUCUGCCUAUUAGUGGGGGACAACAUCUCGAAAGGGAUGCUAAUACCGCA